rnacentral:tRNA from 1 species
GGGUUGAGCAGGAGGGUGGUGAUCCUUGGCCGAUGGCGCUGGCCGUAGCGGUCGAUGCGGCCGUUGCGCUGUUCGAUGCGGAUCAAACUCC